GUAGGCUGGGCUGGCGCCAACAGGGUCCAGGUCUGUGCCUGCCAUCGGAGAGGAUGCCACAGCCACAGGGGUGGGCGCUGGCCUGGAGGCCUCCAAGGGGCAUCUCCUGUGAGCCCAGGGGAUGGGCAGGAUCUGAGCGGAGAAGAGUGAAAGUGGAGGAGUGAGGCCAGAACAAAGGCUUUGCCGUGAAAGAGGUGGUUUCCCGCCUGGGCUCAGACCUUCACUCACUGUGUGGCCCAGGCCAAGGGCAAGCGUCUGACCUCGCUGGGCCUUUGUUUCUCAGGGGGAUGAAGCCACCGAGGCAGGGAGAAAAGUGCUUUGCCCUACAAGCAACUAAGUCAUAGGGCCAGGAGCAAAACCCUGAAAACCUCAGGAGACUUGCAGAGCCAUGAGGCUGGCUCAGCAACACAAAAGCCAGGGGCAAGCCUCAGCUCUAGCAGUGCGGUGGGAGCACCCAAGGCCAGUCACAUCCUAGGGUGGCCUGGAGAGUCCUGACCCCUGACGUGCAAGCCGGCAUCAUCCCCGGGACUGUGAGUCUGGUGGGGGUGAUGCCCAGGAAUGUGACAUUGUGUGGCCCAGAGGUACCCUUAAGACUGGAGGAUCACCAGGCGGGCCCUGACCUCAUCACAGGAGCCCUUUAAAAGCAGUUUCCUUUGCCUGGUUGAAGAAAUCGGAGGGAUCAAACCAAAGAAGGUUUUCUGUUGUUGAGAUGAGGGGGCCACGUGGCAAGGAUCUGAGAACUGCUCCCAGCCAACAGCCAGCAAGACAACAAGACCUUAACUGCAAGGAAGUGAGUUCUGCCAACAAGAAGAGAAUGGGCUUGGAGGCAGGUUUGACCCCAGGGCCUCCACACAAGAACUGAGCCCAACUGCCCACUUGGUUUCAGCCUUGGGUUACUAAGAAUUAGGAGGUAAUGAAUGAGAGUUGUUUUAAGCUGUUGGUUUUGUGGUGAUUUGCUAUGAAGCCAUAUCAAACUAAUAUACACACAGAGGUGUUGGCCCCUGGGCCAUUCCUAGGAAGCCAGCUCUGCGAAGGAGGAAGAAGGGCAGAGAGGCACACAGAGCUGCCCACCACAGCAGCUGUGUCCUCCCUGUUGGCCACCACAGUAGCAGUUGGGGAUGGUCAGCAUCCUUCAGGCAGACUCCAGCCCCGGGUGCUGGAGCUCAGGUGCUAGGGAUCAAGAGAAGUAGCCCUCUCUGGGACCUCCAGAGUCUUCUCAUGUGGGUGGGGUAGGACCCACCCAGUCAGGCUCAGAGCACCGCAAUGCCUCACACUCAUUGUGACUCUGGCCAGGCCCUCUCUGAGCCUCUGUGUCCUCAUCUGGAGCACAGGGACCAGGUGUGUGGAAGCCCGUGGCAUAGUGCCAGGAACACAGUAGAUGUGCACAGUGUGCACUAGCAGGAACACACAACAGGGGUACUGACUGUCAGCACCUAGGCAGGCACACGCAAUGGGGUACUGACUGUCAGCCAUACUGACUGUCAGCGUGCUAGCAGGCAUACACAACAGCUGUACUGACAGCACACUAGCAGGCACAUGCCAUAGGUGUACUGACUCUCAGUGCACUGGCAGGCACACGCAAUAG
rnacentral:lncRNA from 1 species